rnacentral:misc_RNA from 1 species
GUUGGGACACAGUGUUCAAAGGCUUCGAAUCGAUCCUCCACCCCCGAAGUGUCGAAAGAACAACCCUCGGCCGACGACUCUCUUGUCGACUCGAACACAACAGUUCAAAAGCACCCGAAAGCAAACAUGGCGCUGGAUUUCGCAGCCACUUACAAGGUUCUGGUGUUGGGUGAUUCGAACGUCGGGAAAACCUGCAUCGUGCACCGUUAUUGUGACGAACGUUACUACGACACUUACAUUUCAACGAUAGGUAUCGACUUCAAGCAAAAAAUAAUUAACCUGGAUGGAACACCAAUUAAGCUUCAAAUUUGGGACACUGCUGGCCAAGAACGAUUCAGAACGCUGACCACAGCUUACUACCGCGGUGCCAUGGGCAUCCUUUUGAUGUACGACGUCACCAGCCUAGAGAGCUUCAAUCAUCUAUCAUACUGGCUACGAAAUAUUCAAGAAAAUGCCUCCUCGGACGUGGUGAAAGUGUUGGCGGCAAAUAAAUGUGACGCGACUGCGCACAGGGCUGUGGACGCCGAAAGGGGAAUGAAAAUAGCCGAAAACUUCGACAUGCCUUUCUUCGAAGUGUCAUGCAAAGAAAAUAUUAACAUCGAGGAAGCGUUUCUUACUUUGGCUAGAAGAAUACGAGAACAACGAGGACGUCGGGCGAGCCUGUUCGAGGCAUCCGAGAGGGAAGGAGCAGACAGCGUAAUUAAGGCUCAGUCCCCAUCCCAGCAAGGUGACGCUUGGAGAUGCACAUGUUAGUUUCUGUAAUAACGGGGAUCGGGACACGCUUCGAGUAUCGGUAAAUACGAAGUAAUCCUUAUCUAUCGUGGCUGCGCGAGAAUAAAGGGAAGUCGUUUCUCUGUGCAAGUGUACACGGAUGCACGAAUUCGACGGGCGAACACAGUGUGAACAGGAGGUAGAACGAGCUUUAAUCCUGGAAGUAGAACAUGCGUCCACGAAUGCGUCGACGGUCGUUCGCAAUCGUUUGCCAACACAGGCGUUAUAAAUUUUCGCACCCUCUCGAACGGCUCGACGAUACGGCGAAUCCCGUCGAGAGCAACGCAAUCGUAUUAACAAGGAAGCACAAUUACAUUCUAUGCUAACGAUAAGUGUUCAUAUUCGCUGAACAGACUUUUACCUCGACAAAACUCUGUGCUCUGACGUUUUAAGCUAAUGUUUCAUUCUUAACGUUCAAAUGAUUCGAAUCGUAUAUAUUUACGUGGAUAGGUUGUCGUUGGGGUAACCGGAAGGAUGUAGGUAACGCAUUAUUAUAUGUUAGGCAUGACCAGGUGCCAUUUUGAAAGCCAUAUGGUGUACAACGGAUGGUAAUGCAGGAAGUGUAUAUUCCUAGCAAUCAUUUAUGUGUAACGCAUGAAUGAUGUUAGGUGCACUAGUCUCGUUAAAGUCAUUUAUGUGGACAACCCUAUUUUCAAAUGGUGGAUUUGGAGAUACAGGGAAUUGGAGAUUUAAGACCUUGGGCAUUCUGGAGUUAGAGGUCUGCAAGUUUGGGGAUCAGGUUAAAUUAGAAGUCUAAGAAUUUGGAGAUUUGAGGAUUUGUGAGGUGCAGGUAGGAAAUAAGGGAUUUGUGAAGAUGGAGUCAAUUUACAAAGUGGAAGAUCUAGGAAUCUAGAAAUGUGAAGAUUUUGAUGCUUUAUGAAGGGUAAUUAAAUGAGGACUAGUAAUAAAACGUGGCUGUAAAGCCACCACUUGGUCAUGCCUGUUAUAUGUGAUUAGAAUAACAAGAAAUUACUAACGUUGACACCUAAUGGUUCAUCGUUUUCUAUAGGGAAUAUACUAUAACUUCGAUCAAGCUUUGUAACAAUCGAUAACCACUGAGGCUGAUUCAUACACCGAUGCAACAACCGUUUUAUAAACAUUUUUAAUUCGACAGUGAUUUAGCAAUAACCGCGGAACAGUGUAUUCAACCGUUCCGGAAACGAUCGUGUCUCUUCUUUAUACCGCAGCUUGAUGAACAGUUGUUGGGCCACCGAACGUUCUUGAGGUUAGGUUUCUGGUUCGAGGAUUAGCAGUACAAACACUCACCGAUAGACUCGCUUAAUGUUCACGUAAGGCCUAAGACGACAGAUAUUCGUGUUUUGCUGCUUCAUCGGGCGCAAUUGCAAACGACAACACUAUUAAUCGAGGACCAUUGCUUUUCCAUUGUCAGGGGGGAUGGCGUGCGUGUUUCGAAGUCGUUUGGCGUGCAGAUGACCACGCGCGAUUCAGUUUCGAUUUGCUUGCGGCUGGUGCGCGUAAGACGAUUAAAUACCCCCUUGCCUUUGUAUCGCGUUAAUAUUCGAUGUUUGUGAAGCGGAGAGGAAUCGUCUGGGACCGGUUUGUCUGCAGGCCAAAACUAACAGAGGGGAAUCACGCGAGACGAGUUUCGAUUAGUGCGCUUUGAUAAUCACUACGGAUACACCUGGCGAAUUCGAAUGUAGUAUUAAUGAUUAAGUAACAUGUACAGGAUAAUACGAGAGUGUCGUCGUUCUUCUGGAGUAUGGCAUAUGGUUCUUGUCACGCGAGAAUUUACAUCUUGGAGGAGUUUGGCAACCAGCUAGCCUUUUAGAACUGGAGGUAACCAACCAUUUGAGUCCCUGAGGAUCUUGGAACAGCCUAGGAGUCCUAGAGACUGGAUCGUAGGAAUCUGAGGACCUUGGAACUGUACAGCCUAGGAGUCCUAGAGACUGGACCGUAGGACUCUGAGGAUCUUGAAACUGUACAGCCUAGGAGUCCUAGAGACUGCAUCGUAGGACUCUGAGGAUCUUGAAACAGCCUCGGAGUCCUAGAGACUGGACCAUAGGAAUCUGAGGAUCUUGGAACUGUAAGACCUAGGAAUUCCAGAAACCAUUGGUACCUAGAGACUAAAGGUGUUAGGAUUAGUCCUAACCCUAGGAAUCUUGGAACCAUGGGACCUAAGGAUUCUAGGAAUGUGAGGGUGUUUCCCAGAAGAUAAAUUUGAACAAAUGUGCCUAAUCUAAUCCUCUUGGAUUAUCCUAACAGCAUGAUGGGCAUUCUCCUCUCUUAAUCAAAAUAUGCCUCCAUCCUAACGUACAUUUUCCCGUAACGAGAACUAUGAAUGAGUUUGAAAGGAAUGGGCAACAGUGAUGCGACUCGAGACCAGAAUAUAAUUGUACGCGAUAGUGAAGAUAUUAACGAUAGGAUUAUAUAUAGCGCGCUCGAGCAUUAUGUACAUUUUAGGAGGACGCAUUAACUCAUUAGUAACUCAUUGUAUAGAGGCACGAUAAUUAGCGCGUACAAGCAUCGCACAAUACUUUCGUAGACGCAUAGAUAUGUAUACAGUCGUUGUCUUUAACGUAAGACCACCAUCAUCGUAUUCGUACUCCUCGUUUACGCUGGCAACAAAAUGAAGCCUUUAUUGUGCCUACCAACGAUUAGAGGGAGCAAAGAACGGGAGAAUGGCAAAGGUGGGAGCGAAAGUAGGUGAACGAACUUUCAGCUACAUUUUAACGCUUCAUUGCCACUACCUUUUACACAUAAAAAAAUUAUUAAAAUUUGUGAAGUCAUCCACUGUAACCUCUUAUGGAUAAUAACCCUUUUCAAGUUUACAAUAAGGUAUUUGAUCUGUCUUGUUGAUACAUAAAAUUAAAAUUGUUCACGUUUCUUCAAAAUUAGACUCAACAGGAGCCAAAGUUCGAUCACUUACUCAUUGCAUUUUCUAGGGUGCAAACUGACAUGCAGAUUGACCAGAAUCAAGUUGUCGUUGCUUGUAUGCGAAGGAAUUUACAGGGUGGCUCAAAAAAAAUGUUCACCAUAAGUACUGCAAAACUGAAUCUCAACACUUGAAGUGGGAGCUGGAGUUAUGAAGAUCUGAGGAUCUAGGAAUUUGAGAAUUUGGAAAUCUAAAGUUUGGAAUCUCAAGAGAACUUAUAAAAUUAGGGAUCAGGUUAAUCUGAGUUUGGGAAUUCUCCCAGAAUCACCACUAUCCCUAAGAGUCUAAUUUCCACAAAAUUGUCUUAGAGUUCUGAAAUUCCUGUAAGCUAACCUCCUGCGAAUUGCAAAAAGUUGACAGUUUCUACAGCGUACAUCUUUUUCGAAACUCCCUGUAGAUCCGAAGAAACAUAAAAAAGGAGACUGCUGUCAAGACAAUUUAAUCGCGGGUGAAAGAGCGUGCUCGGAAGAUUGUCAAGGUUAUGCCUGUCGCGAGUUUCGUUGCUCGAUUAUUUUCCGAAGACUUUGGAAAUCGAUCGAUCUCGUAGUAAAAGUCAGCGAAUCAUUUACAAUUCGUGUUCGACGCGUUUGUUUGAAUCGCAUACACGCAGCAAGCGCGAAGGUACUGCAACUGAUGGUCUCACAGUACACUGUUUGUGUAUACUACGUACACGCGUACACACACACGCACACUUAUUUGGAAGCCACGAUACGAUCAUCUUCGUUGCUUUUUAUAUAUUUAUAUAACUCGUCGCAAAUUUGUAUGAACACAAACGACUUCGACUGCUUGCUAGCGUUAACGCGUUCGUGCCCGUUCGGGUAGAUUUACCCGUGUCAGAAAGGCUGCAUCUGUUACGUCGGGAUCGAACGUGUUAAGGCAACUUAUUACACCAGUGCUUUUCACCGAAUGACUCCCUUACUUUCUCCCCGUAUCACUUUAGGUCAGUUUUCAUUGCAAAUGUUAUUAUUGGGUGCUUGUUUCAUGUGACAUCGGCUCUGUUUGCAAAGGGAAAAGAGUGGGGGUUUCACUUUGGCUUCGAAAGCAAUAUUUGGAAAGCACUGUGUUAUGCCAACUCAAUGAAAAAUUGAACAACGUUUCCCAAACUCGUUUUAUUAUGAAUGAAAUCAGGUCUUUGCAAGUGGAGAAAGUCCUAUCUCAAAAUGUACGGUGAGCUGUUCCUAUCAAUGUUGCUUCUUUGACUUAAAAGGAGGAAGCUUUAGAAAAGAUAGCACACCGUAUGGUUUGAGAUUGGAAUUAUCUGGGAAGACCUGGAUUAAAUGUUGAAACUUAAACACAUGUGCAAGCAACAUACAAAGUAUGCUGAGAUUAAUCUUGAAGAUAUGUUUGAGUAAUGACUCAUAAUUUUUAGAUAUAAGCAUAAUGAAUCUAUUUGUGGUAAGUUAUUGUUUUAAUUAUGUUAUGAUUCAUAAAAUGUGUAUUUUAUGUAAGCUGUGAUGAUGCUUAGUUGUUUGGGAAGCGUUAAAUUGAAAUUAUAGGGAACUUGAAUGUUGAUUUCUUAUUACUUAUUCACUUGAUCUCUUUUUUAAUAGUUUUUUGUAUGUUAUUCAUUUAGUUUAACUAUUUUUAGCCUUAUUUUUUUAGGAGCUUAACAACGAAUCACAGUAUUCAUGAAAAGAAUGUUCAAACUGUUGCUUCUAAGUUAAAGCAAAACUGUCUCAGAUCUUUAAUAUAAUAGACUACAGUCUUAUAAGAUCACAUCUUGAUACUAUAAUCUGUUAAGUGACUUAUGGAAUUAUUUUCCAAAGACACACAUUCCAUGCAAAUAUUUUCCAAAGAAACACAUUCCAAAGACAACUUCAAUAGUUGUAUGAUCAAAUCAAAUGAUAACAUAUUUUAGCCAUAGUUUGAAUAUUCGAUUCAACAUAGUAUUUAACAUGUUGACUGUCAUAGUGAAGUAUAAUGCAUUUAGCAGGAAUUAGUAAGUUUAUAAAUACCAAUGAUCUAAUUAUGCGAUUUAAGUUAACUUUGCAUUGUUUGGGACCUGUAGAACAGUCAACGUGUUAAGCUGAAAAUAAUAAACUGCCCAAAGUUGAACCCGUAGCUUGCGGCUAGUAGAAUUGUUUGUAUUAUUUAUGUAGAAGGGACGCUGGAUCGUUUACCCCUCCUUGGCUCUUUAUGGAAGCGUUUCGUUUCUUCCCCAAAGCUGGCCUUUGGGUGAAUAAUUUGUGGGAAACGUUUUUUAUAUCACUUGGUUGAUCCUUUAUCAUAUUUAGACGCAACGCACAUGUUUUAGGCGCUACGUCAAUGUCGCAAACUGAAGUGAAAAAAUAAUUCUCGUUUAUCGUCAAAACAAUUGCGAUCGGACGAAAGCUUAUUUCGAAAAAUCCUCUAUCCGUUACACAUCUUUUUUCUUUCCAAACGAAAAUCCAUUUUUGGUGAACGUACAGACAAACUUGCUUUCCUGUUUGCGCUAAAAAGUAUUUACAUCAAUUUCGUACAUAUACGUUACAAAACGAAAGAGCACGUUUGAAGAAAAAUAUUCUGUUCGUUCACUUUAAAUACGAUUGAACAUAUAUAUAGUCUAAAAACGGCUUUCUUUAUCGUUAACGAUAAGACUAAUUCACGUGUUUUGUUUGACCGAUACUAUCAGUCGAAAUAUAUAUACAUGUAUGUAUACGUUUAACAGUUUUUAAGUUCGUAGAGACAACUGUACAACUUGAUGUCUAAAUCGAUAAUAAAUAAAGAUGCACACUUUUUACCUACGAAUUAAUUGUUACUCUUUCCGACUGUACCUGUAUGUUAUAAUUUUAUUUACAUGACCUCGUGUUAAAUCAUAAAGUUUGUAGCUUUAUAGUCAAGUAAGAGGUGCUCAUGUAAAACAGGGGGUUUCCCUAAGAGCCAACACUUGCCCUCUUCAUACAACUUUCACGUAAACAUAACGGAACUGUCAUAAGUUAGGACACCCUAUAUAUAGGAAAUUUGUAUGCUCUACGUAUAUCUGAUACGUGAGAGUUUUAUGAUAAGAGGAAACCAAUUAUAAUGAAUCAGUCAGUUGAACGUGUCACAUAACCUUUAGAUAAACGCGAACUAAAACAAACAUCAACAUAUACUGUGUAAUAUUGAAGGUUAACUUACAACUUUCGAUAGUGAACUAUAUAGAUCAAUAGAAUUGCUCGUAAUUUAACUAAUAGUGUUCUUCAUGAACUGCCCGUACGAUCGCACAGUAGAAUUGAAAUUAGAACAGUGUUCAUUGAUAGUCCUCGCACACUUAACAAAAAUGAAUCAUGAAUUAGGUUUGGCGCGUUCUUUGAGUCAUCGAUAGGUUAUCAUGCGCACCUAACAAACAAAUUGUAUGCUGAAGUUCACUCGAGUUUAGAGCCCAAGAUGGCCGCGAUGACAGAUACGUCGAAGUAUCAAUUGAAUGUGGGAUACGCCUAAAUUUUCAGCUUUCAAUGACAUAUCUUUUAGAAACUGUAAUACAAUGAACGUGAUAAGUUCGUGCAGUGGUUUGAAAGGUGGAGGAUGUACGAGGAACAAAUGACUUCUGUAGGCGCGCAACUUGUCUUAAUUCAUACAAGGUUGUGAUAUUUAUGCGUUAACAAAUUUGAACUACUGUUAAAAUAAAA